rnacentral:rRNA from 1 species
GCAGUCGAGCGAGCUUGCCUAGAUGAAUUUGGUGCUUGCCCAGAUGAAACUAGAUACAAGCGAGCGGCGGACGGGUGAGUAACACGUGGGUAACCUGCCCAAGAGACUGGGAUAACACCUGGAAACAGAUGCUAAUACCGGAUAACAACACUAGACGCAUGUCUAGAGUUUAAAAGAUGGUUCUGCUAUCACUCUUGGAUGGACCUGCGGUGCAUUAGCUAGUUGGUAAGGUAACGGCUUACCAAGGCAAUGAUGCAUAGCCGAGUUGAGAGACUGAUCGGCCACAUUGGGACUGAGACACGGCCCAAACUCCUACGGGAGGCAGCAGUAGGGAAUCUUCCACAACGGACGCAAGUCUGAUGGAGCAACGCCGCGUGAGUGAAGAAGGGUUUCGGCUCGUAAAGCUCUGUUGGUAGUGAAGAAAGAUAGAGGUAGUAACUGGCCUUUAUUUGACGGUAAUUACUUAGAAAGUCACGGCUAACUACGUGCCAGCAGCCGCGGUAAUACGUAGGUGGCAAGCGUUGUCCGGAUUUAUUGGGCGUAAAGCGAGUGCAGGCGGUUCAAUAAGUCUGAUGUGAAAGCCUUCGGCUCAACCGGAGAAUUGCAUCAGAAACUGUUGAACUUGAGUGCAGAAGAGGAGAGUGGAACUCCAUGUGUAGCGGUGGAAUGCGUAGAUAUAUGGAAGAACACCAGUGGCGAAGGCGGCUCUCUGGUCUGCAACUGACGCUGAGGCUCGAAAGCAUGGGUAGCGAACAGGAUUAGAUACCCUGGUAGUCCAUGCCGUANACGAUGAGUGCUAAGUGUUGGGAGGUUUCCGCCUCUC